CUACGGGCUGCUCCAGUGGGGAAUAUUGCACAAUGGGGGAAACCCUGAUGCAGCAACGCCGCGUGGAGGAUGACGCAUUUCGGUGUGUAAACUCCUUUUAUAUCCCAAGAUAAUGACGGUAGGAUAUGAAUAAGCACCGGCUAACUCCGUGCCAGCAGCCGCGGUAAUACGGAGGGUGCAAGCGUUACUCGGAAUCACUGGGCGUAAAGGAUGUGUAGGCGGGAAGUCAAGUCAUAAGUGAAAUCCCACGGCUCAACCGUGGAACUGCUUGUGAAACUGGCUUUCUAGAAUGUGGGAGAGGUAGAUGGAAUUAGUGGUGUAGGGGUAAAAUCCGUAGAGAUCACUAGGAAUACCGAUUGCGAAGGCGAUCUACUGGAACACUAUUGACGCUGAGGCAUGAAAGCGUGGGGAGCAAACAGGAUUAGAUACCCGCGUAGUC
rnacentral:rRNA from 1 species